UACGUAGGGUGCAAGCGUUAAUCGGAAUUACUGGGCGUAAAGCGUGCGCAGGCGGUUUUGUAAGUCUGACGUGAAAGCCCCGGGCUCAACCUGGGAAUUGCGUUGGAGACUGCAAGGCUUGAAUCUGGCAGAGGGGGGUAGAAUUCCACGUGUAGCAGUGAAAUGCGUAGAGAUGUGGAGGAACACCGAUGGUGAAGGCAGCCCCCUGGGUCAAGAUUGACGCUCAUGCACGAAAGCGUGGGGAGCAAACAGG
rnacentral:rRNA from 1 species